AGUAACACGUAUGCAACCUGCCUGCCACAGCCGGAUAAUCGGGAGAAAUUCCGUCUAAUACGGCAUAAUGCAUCGACGGGACAUCCUGUUGGUGCCAAAGGUUGAUUCCGAUGGCGGAUGGGCAUGCGUCGCAUUAGUUAGUUGGCGGUGUAACGGACCACCAAGACGACGAUGCGUAGGGGUUCUGAGAGGAAGGUCCCCCACACUGGUACUGAGACACGGACCAGACUCCUACGGAAGGCAGCAG
rnacentral:rRNA from 1 species